rnacentral:rRNA from 1 species
CCUACGGGUGGCUGCAGUGGGGAAUUUUGGACAAUGGGGGCAACCCUGAUCCAGCCAUUCCGCGUGAGUGAAGAAGGCCUUCGGGUUGUAAAGCUCUUUCAGCAGGGAAGAAACGAUUCUGGCUAAUACCUGGGAUUAAUGACGGUACCUGCAGAAGAAGCACCGGCUAACUACGUGCCAGCAGCCGCGGUAAUACGUAGGGUGCGAGCGUUAAUCGGAAUUACUGGGCGUAAAGCGUGCGCAGGCGGUUGAAAGCCCCGGGCUUAACCUGGGAACUGCGUUGGAAACUGAAAGACUAGAGUGCGGCAGAGGGGGGUAGAAUUCCACGUGUAGCAGUGAAAUGCGUAGAUAUGUGGAGGAAUACCGAUGGCGAAGGCAGCCCCCUGGGUCGACACUGACGCUCAUGCACGAAAGCGUGGGUAGCAAACAGGAUUAGAUACCCCGGUAGUC